rnacentral:rRNA from 1 species
UACGUAGGGUGCAAGCGUUAAUCGGAAUUACUGGGCGUAAAGCGUGCGCAGGCGGUUAUGUAAGACAGGUGUGAAAUCCCCGGGCUUAACCUGGGAACUGCAUUUGUGACUGCAUAGCUAGAGUACGGUAGAGGGGGAUGGAAUUCCGCGUGUAGCAGUGAAAUGCGUAGAUAUCUGGAGGAACACCGGUGGCGAAGGCGGCAUCCUGGACCGACACUGACGCUGAGGAGCGAAAGCCAGGGGAGCAAACGGG